GGGGCUAUAGCGCAGUUGGGAGCGCGCUUGAAUGGCAUUCAAGAGGUCAGGGGUUCGAACCCCUUAGCUCCA
rnacentral:tRNA from 2 species